UGAGUUUAUAUAUUCACAUUAUAUAUGACCUGGUGAGUUUAUAUAUUAUAUUAUAUAUGACCUGGUGAGUUUAUAUAUUAUUUAUGACCUGGUGAGUUUAUAUAUUCACUUUAUAUUAUAUAUGACCUGGUGAGUUUAUAUAUUCACAUUAUAUAUGACCUAGUGAGUUUAUAUAUUCACAUGAUAUAUAAUAGGGACUGGUAGCAGCCAGUGACUACAGUUAGGUCUUGGGGGUUGGUUAAUAGGGACUGGUAGCAGCCAGGGACUACAGUUAGGUCUUGGGGGUUGGUUAAUAGGGACUGAUAGCAGGGACUACAGUUGGGUCUUGGGGGUUGGUUAAUAGGGACUGGUAGCAGCCAGGGACUACAGUUAGGUCUUGGGGGUUGGAUAAUAGGGACUGGUAGCAGCCAGGGACUACAGUUAGGUCUUGGGGGUUGGUUAAUAGGGACUGGUAGCAACCAGGGACUACAAUUAGGUCUUGGGGGUUGGUUAAUAGGGACUGGUAGCAGCCAGGGACUACAGUUAGGUCUUGGGGGUUGGAUAAUAGGGACUGGUAGCAGCCAGGGACUACAGUUAGGUCUUGGGUGUUGGUUAAUAGGGACUGGUAGCAGCCAGGGACUACAGUUAGGUCUUGGGGGUUGGAUAAUAGGGACUGAUAGCAGCCAGGGACUACAGUUAGGUCUUGGGGGUUGGUUAAUAGGGACUGGUAGCAGCCAGGGACUACAGUUAGGUCUUGGGGGUUGGAUAAUAGGGACUGGUAGCAGCCAGGGACUACAGUUAGGUCUUAGGGGUUGGUUAAUAGGGACUGGUAGCAGCCAGGGACUACAGUUAGGUCUUGGGGUUGGGUUAAUAGGGACUGGUAGCAGCAGGGACUACAGUUAGGUCUUGGGGGCUGGUUAAUAGGGACUGGUAGCAGCCAGGGACUACAGUUAGGUCUUGGGGGUUGGUUAAUAGGGACCGGUAGCAGGGACUACAGUUAGGUCUUGGGGGUUGGUUAAUAGGGACCGGUAGCAGCCAGAGACUACAGUUAGGUCUUGGGG
rnacentral:lncRNA from 1 species